rnacentral:rRNA from 1 species
UACGGAGAGUGCAAACGUUGUUCGGAUUCACUGGGCGUAAAGGGCACGUAGGCGGCUCGGCGAAUCGGUCGUGGAAUCCCGACGCUUACCGUCGGAACGGCGGCCGAAAAUACCGGGCUCGAGGGCGUGAGGGGUCACUGGAACUCCUGGUGAAGCGGUGAAAUGCGUAGAUAUCAGGAGGAACGCCGGAGGCGAAAGCGAGUGACUGGCGCGUUCCUGACGCUGAGGUGCGAAAGCUAGGGGAGCAAACAGG